GACAGAGGAUGCAAGCGUUAUCCGGAAUGAUUGGGCGUAAAGCGUCUGUAGGUGGCUUUUCAAGUCCGCCGUCAAAUCCCAGGGCUCAACCCUGGACAGGCGGUGGAAACUACCAAGCUGGAGUACGGUAGGGGCAGAGGGAAUUCCUGGUGUAGCGGUGAAAUGCGCAGAUAUCAGGAAGAACACCAAUGGCGAAGGCAGCUCUCUGGGACGGUACUGACACUGAGACGCGAAAAGCGUGGGGGAGCGAACAGG
rnacentral:rRNA from 1 species